UACGUAGGGUGCGAGCGUUGUCCGGAAUUACUGGGCGUAAAGAGCUCGUAGGCGGUCUGUCGCGUCGAAUGUGAAAACCCGGGGCUCAACUCCGGGCUUGCAUUCGAUACGGGCAGGCUAGAGUUCGGUAGGGGAGUCUGGAAUUCCUGGUGUAGCGGUGAAAUGCGCAGAUAUCAGGAGGAACACCGGUGGCGAAGGCGGGACUCUGGGCCGAUACUGACGCUGAGGAGCGAAAGCGUGGGGAGCGAACAGG
rnacentral:rRNA from 1 species